rnacentral:rRNA from 12 species
GGACCAAGGAGUCUAGCAUGUGCGCGAGUCAUUGGGAUUUUUACUAAACCUAAAGGCGCAAUGAAAGUGAAGGUCCGCCUUGCGCGGACCGAGGGAGGAUGGACCGUUCCGAGGGACGGCCUCGCACUCCCGGGGCGUCUCGCUCUCAUCGCGAGAAGAGGCGCACCCAGAGCGUACACGCUGGGACCCGAAAGAUGGUGAACUAUGCCUGGUCAGGACGAAGUCAGGGGAAACCCUGAUGGAGGUCCGUAGCGAUUCUGACGUGCAAAUCGAUCGUCGGAACUGGGUAUAGGGGCGAAAGACUAAUCGAACCAUCUAGUAGCUGGUUCCCUCCGAAGUUUCCCUCAGGAUAGCUGGCGCUCGCUUCUCGCGAGUCUCAUUCGGUAAAGCGAAUGAUUAGAGGCAUUGGGGUCGAAACGGCCUCAACCUAUUCUCAAACUUUAAAUGGGUGAGAUCUCCGGCUUGCUUGAACUGUGAAGCCGCGAGAUAUCGGAUCAGAGUGCCAAGUGGGCCACUUUUGGUAAGCAGAACUGGCGCUGUGGGAUGAACCAAACGCUGAGUUAAAGCGCCUAAAUCGACGCUUAUGGGAUACCAUGAAAGGCGUUGGUAACUUAAGACAGCAGGACGGUGGCCAUGGAAGUCGGA